rnacentral:rRNA from 1 species
UGGGACUAAGCCAUGCGAGUCAACGCCGAAAGGCGUGGCAUACGGCUCAGUAACACGUAGUCAACAUGCCCAAAGGACGUGGAUAACCUCGGGAAACUGAGGAUAAACCGCGAUAGGCCAAGGUUUCUGGAAUGAGCCAUGGCCGAAAUCUAUAUGGCCUUUGGAUUGGACUGCGGCCGAUCAGGCUGUUGGUGAGGUAAUGGCCCACCAAACCUGUAACCGGUACGGGCUUUGAGAGAAGGAGCCAGGAGAUGGGCACUGAGACAAGGGCCCAGGCCCUAUGGGGCGCAGCAGGCGCGAAACCUCUGCAAUAGGCGAAAGCCUGACAGGGUUACUCUGAGUGAUUCCCGCUAAGGGAAUCUUUUGGCAUCUCUAAAAAUGGUGCAGAAUAAGGGGUGGGCAAGUCUGGUGUCAGCCGCCGCGGUAAUACCAGCACCCCGAGUGGUCGGGACGAUUAUUGGGCCUAAAGCAUCCGUAGCCGGUCUUGCAAGUCUUCCGUUAAAUCCAGCUGCUUAACAGAUGGGCUGCGGAGGAUACUACAAGGCUAGGAGGCGGGAGAGGCAAGCGGUACUCAGUGGGUAGGGGUAAAAUCCUCUGAUCCAUUGAAGACCACCAGUGGCGAAGGCGGCUUGCCAGAACGCGCUCGACGGUGAGGGAUGAAAGCUGGGGGAGCAAACCGGAUUAGAUACCCGGGUAGUCCCAGCUGUAAACGAUGCAGACUCGGUGAUGGGCCGGCUUUAUGCCGGCUCAGUGCCGCAGGGAAGCCGUUAAGUCUGCCGCCUGGGGAGUACGGUCGCAAGACUGAAACUUAAA